rnacentral:rRNA from 1 species
UAAAAGCUCGUAGUUGGAUUUCUGCUGAGGACGACCGGUCCGCCCUCUGGGUGAGUAUCUGGCUUGGCCUUGGCAUCUUCUUGGAGAACGUAGCUGCACUUGACUGUGUGGUGCGGUAUCCAGGACUUCUACUUUGAGGAAAUUAGAGUGUUUCAAGCAGGCACACGCCUUGAAUACAUUAGCAUGGAAUAAUAAGAUAGGACCUUGGUUCUAUUUUGUUUGUUUCUAGAGCUGAGGUAAUGAUUAAUAGGGAUAGUUGGGGGCAUUCGUAUUUAACUGUCAGAGGUGAAAUUCUUGGAUCUGUUAAAGACAGACUACCGCGAAAGCAUUUGCCAAGGAUGUUUUCAUUGAUCAAGAACGAAAGUUAGGGGAUCGAAGACGAUCAGAUACCGUCCUAAUCUUAACCAUAAACCAUGCCGACUAGAGAUUGGAGGUCGUUAUCUUUACGACUCCUUCAGCACCUUAUGAGAAAUCAAAGUCUUUGGGUUCCGGGGGGAGUAUGGUCGCAAGGCUGAAACUUAAAGGAAUUGACGGAAGGGCACCACCAGGA